rnacentral:rRNA from 1 species
CCUACGGGAGGCAGCAGUGAGGAAUAUUGGUCAAUGGACGCGAGUCUGAACCAGCCAAGCCGCGUGAAGGAUGACUGCCCUAUGAGUUGUAAACUUCUUUUAUACGAGAAUAAACUGAGACACGUGUGUCUGUUUGUAUGUAUCUUAUGAAUAAGGAUCGGCUAACUCCGUGCCAGCAGCCGCGGUAAUACGGAGGAUCCGAGCGUUAUCCGGAUUUAUUGGGUUUAAAGGGAGCGUAGGUGGGUGGUUAAGUCAGUGGUGAAAUUUUGAGGCUCAACCUUAGAAUUGCAAUUGAUACUGUCAGGCUUGAGUACAGUUGAGGUAGGCGGAAUUCGUGGUGUAGCGGUGAAAUGCUUAGAGAUCACGAAGAACUCCGAUUGCGAAGGCAGCUUACUAAACUGCUACUGACGUUGAGGCUCGAAAGUGUGGGUAGCAAACAGGAUUAGAUACCCGGGUAGUC